UACAGAGGGGGCGAGCGUUAUUCGGAAUUAUUGGGCGUAAAGGGCGCGUAGGCGGCCUUUCAAGUGACGGGUGAAAUCCCUCGGCUUAACCGAGGAACUGCCUGUCAGACUGGAAGGCUUGAAACCGGGGAGAGGUGAGUGGAAUUCCCAGUGUAGCGGUGAAAUGCGUAGAUAUUGGGAGGAACACCAGUGGCGAAGGCGGCUCACUGGACCGGUACUGACGCUGAGGCGCGAAAGCGUGGGGAGCAAACAGG
rnacentral:rRNA from 1 species